rnacentral:rRNA from 1 species
UACGGGGGGGGCAAGCGUUGUUCGGAAUUACUGGGCGUAAAGGGCGCGUAGGCGGCCUCUGCAAGUCGACUGUGAAAUCUCCGGGCUUAACCCGGAAAGGUCAGCCGAUGCUGCGGGGCUAGAGUGCAGAAGGGGCAACUGGAAUUCUCGGUGUAGCGGUGAAAUGCGUAGAUAUCGAGAGGAACACCUGCGGCGAAGGCGGGUUGCUGGGCUGACACUGACGCUGAGGCGCGAAAGCUAGGGGAGCGAACGGG